ensembl:lncRNA
CACCGACGUGAAGGGCGGCGUCCAACGCCAGGGAGAGAUUCUAAUAAAUAACCUUUCACAUCAAGCCUUGAGUCGUCGGGGAGUCACGUGGACGCGCGUCUCCCUCCGGCUGCAGCUGGAUCCGGCGCUUGCAGGCCUGGAGGCGGCUCCUCCCGCCUGCUCUGCUCUGGGUCCCCGCGGAGCUGCUCAGAUAGAGUUCCCGGGACGGGAGUGCACGCUGGAACCCCUCCCGCCAGAGGCUCGGGGAGCCGGAGAGGUGGCCCCGGGGGCACUGAGCCAGGCGGCCGCCCGGCUGGCAGCCCGCGUCAGGCCUGUAGCUGAGCUGCGCUCUCCACAUGGUGCCCCGGACUUCACCCUCGUCCCUCACAAAAGCCGGGCUGUUGCCUUUCCUCCAACCUUUGGAAUUUUCUUCCGGCCCAAGGUUGACUAAUACUAGUCUUUCUAGUUUCUGGCUGGUGUUGCUUUUUUUAAAUCAAAAUAUCUCUCAAAUCUUUUUAUAAUCUAUGAGCUUCUUCUGCCACUUAAACUUUUUUUUGGGGGGGUCAAGACAAAUUUUUUGGAGCAGUUUUAAUGGCACAGCAAAAUUUAGGGGAAGGGACAGAGUUCGUCGUAUUCAAACAUUUCUCCUUUCACUCACUGACUCAGCUCACGGGCCCCGGGCCAGCCCACGUGCCCUGCGUGACUACUGAGCAUGGAGCGCUCUGCAGCAGAGAUGGACUCGACUGCAUUUCAACGAUAUUUAUGACAUAACCACCAUGUGCUGAGCGCCGCAGGAGGGAAGAAGGCACCCUGCUCCUGGGGGCUGGCGGCUCCUGUGGGACCCCAGAACUCCUGGGACUCCACUCCUGAGAGCUCCCCAAACUCUUGGCACCCCAGCAACAGUCCUUCUCUAAAUGCCACAGCCCACGUUUGUGAAAGGAUUUCAAUCUGAAAUGGAACCGGAAGAUAUAAAAUGGAAAAUCUCAUGCAUGUGCCCUCAGAAAAAUAAAACUUCAGGACUAGAAACAGAGUUUCUGUAAAUGCCUGGUUUACAGAAAAGUGAUAAUAUUACAGUUUUCUUAAAUGAGAGGGCCUUGGUCAUAGGUUGCCUCAUAUCAGCCUUGGAGGGUUUGCUUAUGGUUCCAGAGGUGAGAAAAAGAAAUGACCUGGGUUAGGCUCAUCUGAGAUUUGUUUGCCUGCCUGGGCUGGUUUUGUCUGCUCAGGGAACUUUCAGGCCUGGUCUGUGUACUUUUUUAAACUGAUUUUUAUUUUAAUAGACUAACUGGACUCUCCCUUCUUUACAUUUCCUGGCCAUAAACACAGCCUACCC